AUGUUAAGGACAAGAGGUCAUAUUUUUAGUAGUGUUUCUAAUGUAGUUUGGUCAAAACUCCCAAACAUGUGGAUGGAGCAAUUGGGUAGGCCUCCCAUAUAAGAAUGCAUACGCAUACCUUAAAAAAGUUGGUUUAGCCAGAAUUUAGCAAUCAUUCAAACAAAAGACAAAAAGGAAAGAAAUUGAAACUUGGUAUAAAUACCGGAACGUCCAACAUAUGUUCAAAGAGUCAAGCAUCGGAUUAUUGAGCUUGU
rnacentral:lncRNA from 1 species